AGCAGUAGCCGCGGUAAUACAGAGGGUGCGAGCGUUAAUCGGAUUUACUGGGCGUAAAGCGUGCGUAGGCGGCUUUUUAAGUCGGAUGUGAAAUCCCUGAGCUUAACUUAGGAAUUGCAUUCGAUACUGGGAAGCUAGAGUAUGGGAGAGGAUGGUAGAAUUCCAGGUGUAGCGGUGAAAUGCGUAGAGAUCUGGAGGAAUACCGAUUGCGAAGGCAGCCAUCUGGCCUAAUACUGACGCUGAGGUACGAAAGCAUGGGGAGCAAACAGGAUUAGAUACCCCUGUAGUCCCUGUCUCUUAUAC
rnacentral:rRNA from 1 species